GAUUAGAUUAUCUGGAUUUAUUAGUUUCACACCACUACACAAGCGCAGGGACCCAGCUAAGUUUUUGCAAUAAGAGUGAUUUUUAAACCUGCAAUAAGAGUGGUUUUUAAAUCUGGAAACGAAUUGCCAGGAAGCACCCAGAAAGAGCUACAGUAGCCAUUAACUGGAAGUCACUUAUCUUCUCCCGCUCAAUUUUUAAAGAUAAAAAAUCAAGGGAGAUUCUGGGAUAAUAAAUUUCACUCUAGACUGAAAGGAACCCGGGACGGCCCAAAUCUCACAAGCUAUCAGCGAAAGCUUGAAAACUUUCCCUCUCCACUUUUACUACACCCGGAAUCUUCCACUUUCGCCAGAGCCUCCUGACAAGUGUCCCACUCUCUGCCCAGACUCUGCAGCCCCAAGAGUUCCUGUGCCAGUCUUAAGCUGAAGCAGGAGGUACCCGUGGCUCCCGGCCCAAGCACUCGCGCUCACCCGGAUAUGCUUAUCCUUUUAGGGAUCACAUAGCCCUCAGGAAAGUCUACCAAAGCUGUAGACCUUGUCCCCAGAAAAAUUGGCUUUUCAUAUAUGCUCUGUGAAGCUGAAAGAUACAAAUUCCUACAGAAGUCCUGGAGGAUUCCCUACCUGCAAACUCUGCAAGUUCUGACAGAGUCUGGGCUCUUCCAAGAAACUCACAGAACCACAUCAAUAUGUUAUGUGCUGCUGCUUCAACAGAAUUUGUCCUCAUAACAAAUAGGAGUUUGCCUAUUUGGGGACUUUGGAAGGUUCUUGAAGGAUUUUUGAAGACUGCUUAGCAUCUUUGCUCCUUGACUAGAUGAGUUACUUAACCUUGUUGAGCUUCCUCAUGUGUAUAAUGGACAAUACAUGCUUCAGAGGGUCUGUGGAUUUGCCAUGAACCUUGGAGAGUGAACGCCUUAAGAUACCUCAUAUAUAUGUGUCCUCACAGGAGAGCCUUAGGCAUCAUGGGUUUGUAAUUUUGUAGUCUAACAACUUCCCCCACCCCUUAAACUGUAUAAUUUUCAGAGCCUGGCAAAGUUGAUCUGAUGUUUGUUCACAAGCAGGAGAUUGUGAGAAUGAAUCACAUACCCAAGUGCAGUCCAGGGUCUGGCCCCUUGUAAGAGUGUCACAGAGUCCUUGUUGUUGUUAGUGGAGAUACUUUCCCUCUAUUACCUUUCCUUCCACAUACUCUCCCCUCCACUCCCUAAGUGUCAGUGCACAUCCACAUCUGUUCAACUUGCUUCUUUUCCUGCAGUGUUGGCUUCCUGCCAGUCACUCACCCUGUGUCACUCGGUACAACUUAUUUUGUAAGGUGCAGUAUGUAAUUUCUCCCUAUGUCCUUUUUAAUGAUGCAAAAACAAUGUCUAACAAUUGUGUUCUUCUCAGAAAUGUGACAGCAGGGAGAGACUGUAAAUAAAUUACCUUAAGCUCCUUGGUAUGAAGGGGAAUCAAAGUCCAACUAAUGCUUAACAAAAUACCCAGCAGGACAGGAAAACAAAGGGCAAUUGAGGCAAACUGUGAUGCUUGGCCGGUUGUUGAAAUCAGAGACCAAUUGUCCUCUGACCAUGAUGUAGAGACUUCCUUUAAGAAUUACUAAAGGGUUCUCAGUCACCCUCAUAAUGACCUUUACUACAAGCAUGGAGAAUGCAACCCACAUUUAAUCUUAAAAGACACAGCUCUUUGCAUUGCAGUUGUUAAAGAAGCUCAGAGCCAUUGGCUUUGACUCAGGAUGAAUAAAGAGAGAGAGUAGAGUGUCUGAGCGCCUGACAUGGCACUCCUUCCCUGGCCUAUAAGAUAAAGUAACUUGACUUCAUUCUCUUAGGUACAGCAGGUAUUGCAGGCUAAUUGUGUACAAUGCACUGUGGAGGGUGAUGAGUAAAACCAGGGCUCCUGCACUUUCUAUCACUGCUGAAAGCUGUCCAGUCAAGUGGAGGGAGCAUGGACAAUGGGAUUAGUUGAAUCUAGUCUAAUCCCAGCUGCUUUGUACUAGUUAUAUAAUUUAGACUACCUUGUAAUCUCCUUG